rnacentral:rRNA from 1 species
GACGAACGCUGGCGGCGUGCUUAACACAUGCAAGUCGAACGCUGAAGCUCAGCUUUUGUUGGGUGGAUGAGUGGCGAACGGGUGAGUAACACGUGAGUAACCUGCCUCCUUCUUUGGGAUAACGCCCGGAAACGGGUGCUAAUACUGGAUAUUCACUGGUCUUCGCAUGGGGGUUGGUGGAAAGGGUUUUUCUGGUGGGGGAUGGGCUCGCGUCCUAUCAGCUUGUUGGUGGGGUGAUGGCCUACCAAGGCUUUGACGGGUAGCCGGCCUGAGAGGGUGACCGGUCACAUUGGGACUGAGAUACGGCCCAGACUCCUACGGGAGGCAGAAGCGGGGAAUAUUGCAGAAUGGGCGAAAGCCUGAUGCAGCGACGCCGAGUGAGGGAUGGAGGCCUUAGGGUUGUGAACCUCUUUAGCUCAUGGUCAAGCCGCAACAAUGGUUGUGGUGAGGGUAGUGGGUAAAGAAGCGCCGGCUAACUACGUG